UACGAAGGGGGCGAGCGUUGUUCGGAUUUACUGGGCGUAAAGGGCGCGCAGGCGGCUCAUUUUGUCAGGCGUGAAAGCCCCGGGCUUAACCUGGGAACUGCGUUUGAGACGGAUGGGCUAGAGUUCGGGAGAGGAGAGUGGAAUUCCCAGUGUAGAGGUGAAAUUCGUAGAUAUUGGGAAGAACACCCGUGGCGAAGGCGGCUCUCUGGGACGGUACUGACGCUGAGACGCGAAAGCGUGGGGAGCGAACAGG
rnacentral:rRNA from 1 species